GAGUUUGAUCAUGGCUCAGAACGAACGCUGGCGGCGUGGAUAAGACAUGCAAGUCGAACGGGAGAAUUGCUAGCUUGCUAAUAAUUCUCUAGUGGCGCACGGGUGAGUAACACGUGAGUAACCUGCCCCGAGAGCGGGAUAGCCCUGGGAAACUGGGAUUAAUACCGCAUAGUACCGAAAGAUUAAAGCAGCAAUGCGCUUGGGGAUGGGCUCGCGGCCUAUUAGUUAGUUGGUGAGGUAACGGCUCACCAAGGCGAUGACGGGUAGCCGGUCUGAGAGGAUGUCCGGCCACACUGGAACUGAGACACGGUCCAGACACCUACGGGUGGCAGCAGUCGAGAAUCAUUCACAAUGGGGGAAACCCUGAUGGUGCGACGCCGCGUGGGGGAAUGAAGGUCUUCGGAUUGUAAACCCCUGUCAUGUGGGAGCAAAAUUAAAAAGAUAGUACCACAAGAGGAAGAGACGGCUAAACUCUGUGCCAGCAGCAGCCGCGGUAAC
rnacentral:rRNA from 1 species